rnacentral:rRNA from 1 species
UGCCACGUCCAUGCUCCCGGCCGCCAUGGCGGCCGCGGGAAUUCGAUUAACGCGAAGAACCUUACCUGGGCUCGAAGCGCAUUUGGACCGGGGUGGAAACAUCCCUUCCCGCAAGGGCUGCUGCGUAGGUGCUGCAUGGCUGUCGUCAGCUCGUGUCGUGAGAUGUUGGGUUAAGUCCCGCAACGAGCGCAACCCUUAUUGCCAGUUGCCCACGGGUUAAGCCGGGCACUCUGGCGAAACUGCCCCGGAUAACGGGGAGGAAGGUGGGGAUGACGUCAAGUCCUCAUGGCCUUUAUGUCCAGGGCUACACACGUGCUACAAUGGUCGGUACAAACCGUCGCAAACUCGCGAGGGUGAGCUAAUCGGAGAAAGCCGACCUCAGUUCGGAUUGGAGUCUGCAACUCGACUCCAUGAAGCUGGAAUCGCUAGUAAUCGCGGAUCAGAACGCUGCGGUGAAUA